UGGAAUGAGUAGCAUAGGAUCAGUCUAAUCGAAACCAAAUCCAAAGCAACCAUGUCGGAAUCUGUCUAUGUUCAGAGCAUUUUCUUUCCUCUUUCCCUUGGGUGUUUCAACAAAAGGAGAGAGAAUAAACAUUAUUCUUUCUACAGGUUGGUGAUUGUCUGAUUUCUAACCAUUUCCCUUUCUCCUUUUGCCUUGGAUAUUUCGAGGAUAAGACUGAACUUGCCGCCCUCUUUGAACAGUUGGGCACUUGUCUAAUUUCUAAGCAUUUUCCUCGUUAUUUCAAGGACAGGACUGAACCUUGAGGUAUAUCCAUUUAAUUCGCUCUACCCUUCUCCUUCAACACAAACUCAUAUUGCAAUCAAAUCCUAAUUGCCUUGCUCUCUCUUUUUAGUUUUUUAAACGAGUGAUGAGAGUUUGAAUUGGAAUCGAUGGCGUUAUCUUCAUCAUCUCAAAAUCAGGAAUUUAAUGCUUUCUCUGGCAAGAGAAGGAUGGUUUCUGAAUCUUCAAGAUCAUUUCAUGUAUUCAUCAACCACAGAGGCCCUGAUGUCAAACAAACUGUUUCUAUUCAGCAUUAUAAUUCCCUUCGGCAGUUGGGAAUUCGGGCUUUUCUUGAUUCAGAAGAGAAGCAACUUGGAGAUUCGUUUCCUUUCGCCAUUAAUACAGCUAUCCGUUUUUCCUUUGUACACGUAGCCAUCUUUUCCAAAGGAUAUGCAGAUUCACCUUGGUGUCUAACUGAACUAGUUCUCAUCUUAGAGAGCCAGGCCAAAAUUAUCCCUGUGUUUUAUGGAGUGAAACCUUCUGAUCUACGCCACAUAGAAAAAGGAGUAUACGCUGAUGCAUUCAUUAAAUAUGAAGAAAAGGGCAGGUACCUGGAGAAGCUUAACAAGUGGAAGGAGGCCCUUCAGUCUCUUUCACUUAUAGCCGAAGAAAAAAUUAACAGGUAACAUAAAUUUUUGGUACUUAUAUAAUUUUUCUCUUUUAUCGAAUAUGUUUUAACAAUUAACUCAUGGAAUCCUCCCAUUAUGGUAUAAAAUUUCAGCGACUAGCACUACCAAACAAUAGUGGCAGCUGUGCAAAAACAAGUACAAAGGAAAAUACCUUUACAUGUUGCUCAACAUCUAGUGGGGCUUAACAAUCUUGUGAAAGAUUUUGAACGACAUUUCCUUAUGGAACUUGUAUAAGAUUUUGAAAACCAGUGUGGGCUGGAGAAAAGUAAGGGUAAGGCUAAGCUAGUUGGCAUUUUUGGCAUGGGUGGAGCGGGGAAGACAACUCUGGCCAAAGAGUUGUUUAACCAGAAGAGUUUGAAUUACUCUGAAGCAGCAUUUUUGUUUGAUGUGCGAGAAGUGUCUGAGAGAAGAGAAUUGCCUUCUCUGCAACUUAAGCUUCUCAAAGACCUCUUUCAUAGACAUGACCUCAGUUUUACAAGCAUAGAAGAAGGAACAAACUAUCUCAACCAAAGUCUACAACAAAGCCCUGCCCAUUUAAGCUUCCUAAUUUUUAUAGAUGACAUCAAUCAUGUGGAGCAGUUAAAUGCUCUACUGGUUGUGGAUAUCUUAAAUAGAUUAAAUAAAAAUCUUGUUAUUGUAACAACCCAUGACAUUGGCGUGGUCAGAAUUUUAGGGAUUACUAUUGGCUAUCGUUUAGGUGGAAUGGAUGUAAAUAAUGGGAGUGAACUGUUUUGUUGGCAUGCCUUUGACCAGCCCAAUCCACCUAGCGGAUUUGAGGAAUUGGUUAAAUCCUUCGUAGAUGUGUGUGGAGGUUUACCUCUUUCUCUUCAAGUUUUGGGCAGGCACGUUCAUGGUAGAAGUGAGGAAUAUUGGAGGUCACAAUUGUUUGAAGUUAGAAAGACGUUGCCUCGAAAUGUAAAGGAAAGAUUGAGAAUAAGUUUUGAUGCAUUGAAUGCUGAAGAGAAACAGGUUUUUAUAGAUAUUGUUUGCUUUUUGGGGGGCAGAGGAGACUAUAGCAGAAGAAGUAUGGCAGGCAUCAGGAUGGAACACUCAACAUACACUACAAAAACUCAGAGACAAAUGUCUUGUAGAAGAAAGAGAAAAAAGAGGUCCAUAUUUUCAUUUUCUGAGAAUGCAUGACCACCUGAGGGACUUGGGAUGAGAAAUUGCACUUGAGCGUAGACCUCCUCAUCGCCUAUGGCCUCAUCAAGAUCUAAAAUAUUUGGAUUUAAGAAAUAUCCUCGCCCAAACCAAUCUCAGGUGUCUCCGUUCCAUUUUUGACAAGUCCAUGAAUUCUCAAGUGACAUUCUUUCUAGGCCAAUCAAACAACUGUGUUGAAACGCCAACUUUCGUACUAUAUCUCGAGCUUGAGGGCUAUUACGCAGAACGGUCAGAGAAGAGCAUUCCUUUGUGGAUUCCUCUUCAAUGUUUGAAGUAUUUGAAAAUCAGCCAUGAAACAUUUAAAACAUUAUGGAACAAACACAAAUGGGUAUUUUGAUCUUCUCAGUCAAAAAGUUAAUCUCCUUCAACGGUUUGGUAGAAAUCUCCGGACUAUUUUUUAGUCAUUCAGAUGCCCUCACAGUUGAAAAGUCUUCAUAUUAAUGGAUGCCCAAAGCUUAAGGAGGUAACUCUUGGUCAUCUCAGCUGCUUGGAAAACAUUACUAUUAUGCACUGUAGUGAUUUGAAAGGUGUGUUAGGAAUAUCCAAUCUUGUGAAGCUUGUAGAACUAAGCAUUAUAGGUUGUAGGAAGCUAGAGUUUGAACGCUUGUGCCUCAGAGGCAUGAAGUGUCUACAGAACAUAACAUUUGAUGUAAAGGUGAAAUCUUUUAUAUUGGAUGGUUGUCAACUUUGAAAACAGUAGAGUUUAGUUGUGAAGAGCUUGUAGAAUUAAGCGUUCGUGGCUAUCUGAAGCUUUAGAAAUUGCCAGUUUUGGGAUGCUCGUUGGAGAGGAUUGUAAUUGAUGGGUGUAGAGAGUUCGAAUGCCUUCAAUUGGAUGGUUGCCAUAAUUUCAAAAGUCUUACGCUGCCAACACCAUUUAUCAAUCUGUCUAUACGAAGUUGCGGAGAUUUGCAAAGAGGGGCAGGAAUUAGUGAUCUUACAGGGCUUAUAGAGUUGUACAUUAGUGAUUGUCCUGAGCUGCCAAGUCUUUCCAGUCUGAUUUGCUUGGAGAAAUUUCAGAUUGACAAUUGUAAGAAGCUACAGAACAUUACGCUGCCAACACUCAUCAGUCUGUCUAUACGAAGUUGCACAGAUUUGCAAAGAGUAGCAGGAAUUAGUGAUCUUACAAAGCUUAUAGAGUUGCGCUUUAUAAAAUGUCCUAAGCUUGCGAAGUUUCCGUGUCUUUCCAAUCUUAAUUGCUUGGAGAAAAUUGAGCUUGACAAUUGUAAGAAUCUACAAUACAUUGCAUUGCCAACAACACUCAUUUGUCUGUUUAUAUGAAAUUGCAGAGAUUUGCAGGGAGUUGAAGGAAGUGGUGAUCUUUCAAAUCUUAUAGAGAUGCACAUUAUAAAGUGUCUCAAGCUUGAGAACCUUCCAAGUUUUUUCAAUCUGAAUUGCUUGGAGAAAAUUGAACUUGGAAAUUUUAACAAUCUACAGCGCGUUACAUUGCCAACAACACUCAUCAGUCUUUCUCUGCGAAGUUGCAGAGAUUUGCAAGGAGUUGAAGGAGCUAGUGAUCUUUCAAAGCUUAUAGAGUUGUACAUUAUACAGUGUCCAAAGAUUGAGGAGUUUCCAAAAUUUUCCAAUCUCAAUUGCUUGGAGAAAAUUGAGCUUGACAAUUGUAACAAUCUACAGAACAUUACAUUGCCAACAACUCUCAUCAGUUUGUGUAUACGAAGUUGGAGAGAUUUGUAAAGAGUAGAAGGAACAAGUGAUCUUUCGAAGCUUAAAGAAUUGGACAUUAAAAACUGUCCCGAGCUUGAGGAGUUGUUGAUUCUUUCCAGAGUGAGUUGCUUAAGGUACAUUGGCAUUGACACUUGUGAGAAGGUGAAGAACAUAGUAGGUAUGGAAGAGUUGCAUGCAUUGAGAGGUGUGCAACUUCUUUAUUGCAGCAGUUCAAUAAUUCAGCAUUACCUUCCCAGGUUCAAGACUAUGAUGUCCUCUUAUACCCUUGUGAUCGAAAGAGCAGUGGAUGGAGCGACGUCAAUUUUAAAUGAGUAUAUGUUUUAUGAUGUUGGUAUUGGCGAUGAUGCAGUCACUAACAUUGUUACAGAAAUGGACCGUACUGAAUUAAAAAUCAAGUUGGAAGAAUCAUGUAGAGUUAUUCUAUGCUAUGUGGUUGUGGUUGAUAGCUCUACUUCGAUAGAGGAUAUAAACAAAUCACUUCUACAAAACCCACUCUACGCCGGUACUGGAUUUGAAGUGCGUCAAGGAGAAUGGAUACUUACAAUGGUGGCAACAUAUGGCAAUACAAUUUUUAUAUGCAAAUUGAAGAUGUUUUAAGCAAGUUUGGAAUAAUAAAGAAGGGGUUUCUCGUAAAGGUGAAGAAAGUUGAAGAGUGGAAAGGUAUUCAAGUGUUGCACACAAUUAUUGAUAGGUUAUAUAUCAUUUAUGAAUGAAUUUUUUCGAAUUUUUUUUUUUUUUAAUAAUUC